UACCCUCUUAUAAAUGUGGAAGAGGACGUUUAAAAAGAAAAGUAGCAUCUUUAUAAACACACACUAUAUGAUCGGUGAAAGCUGCUGUGCUGGUUUAAAGUACCAAAAGAGGGUGCAUUUUUUUCAACUGAAAGCCGAUGCCCAGAGUUACCCAUGAUGUUACACAGUGAUUGAAGUCAAUAAUUGUCAGACUCAAAAGGAAACUGUGAAAAACUCCAGAAACACGAUCCAUCACCAUCUCUCAGAUGUUUGCCAAAGCCACAAAAGCCUUUGUGAAGGACACAGAUCAUGCGGGUCGCCUGAUCCCUGUGUCCAGUCUGAAUGACACAGACAAACUGAAUCUCCGAUCACUCAUUGUCAAGACCAGGCACAGAUGCUUCUGGCAGGAACCCAAAUACCAGUCCCCUGGCUUUACCCUCGGUGAUGUUCUGGAGCCUGGAGAGCCUGGAAACACACCUUUAAGUCCAACUGUCAAGGAGUCUGACUUUGUGGACUACAGUGGGACAUUUGGUGACAAGAAAGAAAUGAACGCAGACGGAAACGUGGAGGCAAAGUUGGCUGAUUUCAACCUGACCGUGGGAGGGAAAUGGUCCACCAAACAGAAGCUGUCCCUUGGCAGCCUGAACAAAGAGAAGGUUGAUGUGAAGGACUUACACAGCUACUCAAAAAACAGAGUUCUGGACAUGUCCCAUCCUGUGAUCAAGCAGACCCGUGCGAAUCCCAGGGCAGUGUUAGGCGUCUUGACGGAGAGGAUUAUGACGUCACUACCUUGCCCGGUCACAAACAAUGUCCUUAAGCAUGGCAAUGUAGGAGCCAACGUGAGCGCCUGUGUGUUCCUGAGCGGGAAGGCCUCGAUGAAGCAGAUCGGCAGUACUCAGACAGAAAGUGAUGUGUCACUGGGUAUUCCUGCAAAUACUGUCAUGGCCUACAGUCUGAUUGAGCUCUACGUCAAAUGCAAUGGACAGUUUGAGCUGUGCCUCAUCCGCAACAAUGGGGGCUUUGAAAAGGUUUGGUCAAAGGAUGAGAUUGAAGAGGAUGGAAUUAUGGACCUGAGAGGCGACUUUGAUACCAACAGCCCCUUAAAUAUGAACGAAGAACUGGACAAACUGAGUGGUCAUUUACAGCUGCUGUCAGUCCUGCCGGUGGCCAAACGCUCCUCUCUGCUCCAGCUCCUCAAGACAACCAUGGAGGACAGAGAUGCAGUCAGUGUGCUGGAGAGUGUGCUGGAUCAGAUGUGUGAAGGUGAGACUCCUGACCUGGGUGACCUGGAAGAGUCUGAGAGGGAAACAGUCCAGGCCAUACUGGAUCUUGUAGACCAAUGUGUUGGGAAGGAUGAGGACGAGAUCAGAUCCUCACUUCUCAGUGCCGUCCACCUCAUUGUCAGUGCCAUGGACGGAAUGACAGAUGAAGGUCUCUCUGUGUUGGGAUCCUGUUGCAGUUUUCCACUCUUACAGGCCCUGCAGAUCCUGCCCCAUAAGGGAGUGGAUGUCCUGCUUGCAGACAUUUGCCACCUCAGGGGUUUGGCCUGUCGAUGCGGCAACAUGCCAGCUCCGAGGAAGAAAAGGUGGCAUGACCUCUUUCAGAAGGUAGAGAAUUGCCCAAUGUAGGUCUGUGGACAACUCUGCUCGGGGGGCUUCAGAGAGGGGCUUCAGAGAGGUGUCUGUGGACUUCACCCCAGGAGUGUAUUUUUUAAGCAGGUCUCUACCUGUGGACCUGCUGGGCCAGCACCUACAACUCCACCUGCACCUAAAACUCCACCUGGAACUCCAUCGGCGCCUACAACUCCUCCGGCGCCUACAACUCCACCUGCACCCACAACUCCACCUGAAACUCCACCGGCGCCUACAACUCCUCCGGCGUCUACAACUCCACCAGCGCCUACAACUCCACCAGCGCCUACAACUCCACCUGCACCUACAACUCCUCUGGCGCCUACAACUCCUCUGGCGCCUACAACUCCACCAGCACCUACAACUCCACCAGCACCUGUCUGCUUGAGGGGGAAUGUACACAGCUGUGACUAUAACUGCCGAGAAUUCUCUUUCUUGGUAGGUAAAAAUGGCUGGCAUUUGAUUGUAAGGAAUUCUAGGUUGGGUGAGCAGAAGGACUUGAGAUCCCGUAUGUUAUGAU